rnacentral:rRNA from 1 species
UACAGAGGGUGCGAGCGUUGUUCGGAAUUACUGGGCGUAAAGCGCGCGCAGGCGGCCUUUUAAGUCUACCCGUGAAAUGCCGGAGCUCAACUCCGUGCACGCCGGGGAUACUGGGAGGCUGGAGACAUGUAGAGGCAAGCGGAAAUUCCGGGUGUAGCGGUGGAAUGCGUAGAUAUCCGGAAGAACACCUGAGGCGAAGGCGGCUUGCUGGGCAUGAUCUGACGCUGAGGCGCGAAAGCGUGGGAGCAAACAGG